AGCAUAUCAAUAAGCGGAGGAAAAGAAACCAACAGGGAUUGCCCUAGUAACGGCGAGUGAAGCGGCAACAGCUCAAAUUUGAAAUCUGGCUUCGGCCCGAGUUGUAAUUUGCAGAGGAUGUUUAUGGUGCGGUACCUUCCGAGUUCCCUGGAACGGGACGCCACAGAGGGUGAGAGCCCCGUCUGGUUGGAUACUAAACCUGUGUUAAACUCCUUCAACGAGUCGAGUAGUUUGGGAAUGCUGCUCUAAAUGGGAGGUAAAUCUCUUCUAAAGCUAAAUACUGGCCAGAGACCGAUAGCGCACAAGUAGAGUGAUCGAAAGAUGAAAAGCACCUUGAAAAGGGGGUUAAACAGUACGUGAAAUUGUUGAAAGGGAAGCGUUUAUGACCAGACUUGUGUCGUGUGGCUCAUCCGAGGUUCUCCCCGGUGCACUCCACGCGGCUCAGGCCAACAUCGGUUCUUGUUGGAGGAUAAGAACAGUAGGAACGUAGCUCUCCUUCGGGGGAGUGUUAUAGCCUAUUGUACGAUACUCUGACGGGGACCGAGGACCGCGCUUCGGCUAGGAUGUUGGCGUAAUGGUCAUUAGCGACCCGUCUUGAAACACGGACCAAGGAGUCGUCCAUUAGAGCGAGCGUUUGGGUGUAAAACCCGCACGCGUAAUGAAAGUGAAAUUAGGUGAGAGCUUCGGCGCAUCAUCGACCGAUCCUGAAGUUUACGGAUGGAUUUGAGUAAGAGUUUUAACGGACGGACCCGAAAGACAGUGAACUAUGCUUGAAUAGGGUGAAGCCAGAGGAAACUCUGGUGGAGGCUCGCAGCGGUUCUGACGUGCAAAUCGAUCGUCAAAUUUGAGCAUGGGGGCGAAAGACUAAUCGAACUGUCUAGUAGCUGGUUACCGCCGAA
rnacentral:rRNA from 1 species